UACGUAGGUGGCAAGCGUUGUCCGGAAUUAUUGGGCGUAAAGCGCGCGCAGGCGGCCUUUUAAGUCUGAUGUGAAAGCCCCCGGCUCAACUGGGGAGGGUCAUUGGAAACUGGAAGGCUUGAGUGCAGAAGAGAAGAGCGGAAUUCCACGUGUAGCGGUGAAAUGCGUAGAGAUGUGGAGGAACACCAGUGGCGAAGGCGGCUCUUUGGUCUGUAACUGACGCUGAGGCGCGACAGCGUGGGGAGCAAACAGG
rnacentral:rRNA from 1 species